AGUGAACGCUGGCGGUAGGCCUAACACAUGCAAGUCGAACGGCAGCACAGUAAGAGCUUGCUCUUACGGGUGGCGAGUGGCGGAUGGGUGAGGAAUACAUCGGAAUCUUCUUUUUCGUGGGGGAUAACGUAGGGAAACUUACGCUAAUACCUCAUACGACAUACGGCUGAAAGCAGGAGAUCUUCGGACCUUUCGCGAUUGAUUGAGCCGAUGUCGGAUUAGCUAGUUGUCGGGGUACAGGCCCACCAAGGCGACUAUCCGUAGCUUGUCUGAGAGGAUGAUCAGCCACACUGGAACUGAGACACGGUCCAGACUCCUACGGGAGGCAGCAGUAGGGAAUAUUAGACUAUGGGCGCAAGCCUGAUCCAGCCAUACCGCGUGGGUGAAGAAGUCCUUCGGUUUGUAAAGCCCUUUUGUUGGGAAAGAAGAGCAGCGGAUUUAUACCCCGCCGUUCUGACGGUACCCAAAGAAUAAGCACCGGCUAACUACGUG
rnacentral:rRNA from 1 species